rnacentral:rRNA from 1 species
AUUGAACGCUGGCGGCAUGCCUUACACAUGCAAGUCGAACGGCAGCACGGGUGCUUGCACCUGGUGGCGAGUGGCGAACGGGUGAGUAAUACAUCGGAACAUGUCCUGUAGUGGGGGAUAGCCCGGCGAAAGCCGGAUUAAUACCGCAUACGAUCUACGGAUGAAAGCGGGGGACCUUCGGGCCUCGCGCUAUAGGGUUGGCCGAUGGCUGAUUAGCUAGUUGGUGGGGUAAAGGCCUACCAAGGCGACGAUCAGUAGCUGGUCUGAGAGGACGACCAGCCCGCACUGGGGCGGAGACACGGCCCAAACCCCCAGGGGGGGGAGCAGUGGGGAAUUUUGGGAAAGGGGGGAAAGCCUAUCCCGCAAAGCCGGGGUGGGUGAAAAGGGCCUUGGGGUUUUAAAACCUUUUUUCCCGAAAAAAAGCCCUUGGCCUUAAUUGGGGGGGGGGUGACGGUUACCGGAAAAAAAAGCCCCGCUAAAUUAGGG